ensembl:snoRNA
UUCAUUGUUGCCAAUGAUGUAUUAUUGUUGGAACUGAGUCUAAGUGAUCUAACUCUAUUCCUCACUACCACUGAGACAACGAUGAG